UGCCCGACGAGAAGAGACACGCCCACC
rnacentral:piRNA from 1 species